rnacentral:rRNA from 1 species
UACGUAGGGUGCAAGCGUUAAUCGGAAUUACUGGGCGUAAAGCGUGCGCAGGCGGUUGUGCAAGACCGAUGUGAAAUCCCCGGGCUUAACCUGGGAAUGGCAUUGGUGACUGUACGGCUAGAGUGUGUCAGAGGGGGGGUAGAAUUCCACGUGUAGCAGUGAAAUGCGUAGAGAUCUGGAGGAACACCGGUGGCGAAGGCGACAUCCUGGACCGGUAUUGACGCUGAGGCGCGAAAGCCAGGGGAGCAAACGGGG